rnacentral:rRNA from 1 species
GAGAGGUUCGAAGGCGAUCAGAUACCGCCCUAGUUCUGACCGUAAACGAUGCCACCUGACGAUCCGCCAGGGUUACUACCAUGACUCGGCGGGCAGUCCCCGGGAAACCCAAGCCUUCGGGUUCCGGGGGAAGUAUGGUUGCAAAGCUGAAACUUAAAGGAAUUGACGGAAGGGCACCACCAGGAGUGGAGCCUGCGGCUUAAUUUGACUCAACACGGGGAACCUCACCCGGCCCGGACACCGCGAGGAUUGACAGAUUGAGAGCUCUUUCUCGAUUCGGUGGGUGGUGGUGCAUGGCCGUUCUUAGUUGGUGGAGCGAUUUGUCUGGUUAAUUCCGAUAACGAACGAGACUCUAGCCGGUUAAGUAGCCCGAGCGGUUUUUGAUCUUUGCCGUUCAUCCCCGUUCGACCUUU